GCCGGUAUGGUGCAGCGGUAGCACGCGGGACCUCAGGGUCGCCUGGACGUCCUUCGGGGAGUCCGGGCUUGAGCUUGGGCAAACGGUGGCACUGGUUCGAAUCCAGUUGCCGGCA